CACAAUCCUGAGAGUUCAAGAACGAUCCAGAGAGCCAUGAAGAGAUAGAGUGAGAGAGAGGUGAAAUUCAGGAAAGAUAAAGAAUUCAUCUCAUCAUCUCAGCACGAUGUUAGUUGCUCUUCAUCCCGCGACUGAUCGGAGAGGCACACAGAGAAAGAAGUGGGAGAGGGAUCUGGGUUUUGACUACAGCCCCAAAUUUCUAAUCGGGUAUUGUUCGGUUUUGCUGUGAGGAGGAAGAGGACCUGCGUUUUGGAUAACUCUGCGUUUUGAGCCAAGGAAAAGAUGAUGGAUUUGGGUAUAGGGUUGUGAUCGAUACUUAGUUUUUGGGGCUAUGGUUCUUGCAUCAGUGAGAACUUGGUGAGCUUUCAGCUAAGGUUUGUAAAAGUCCAAGCACUAAGAUACAGAAGACAACAGGACAAAUCAAUCUUUGUUUGUUUUGGAAAAGGAUCUGUUCUGUGUCUUGGACUGUUUGGUUUUGGUGAAAGCAGGUUUGGGAUAAGCAAAUUAUAAUUUGAAAACAGUUGGGACUUGAAAGUUGCAUAUAUUGAAGAAGUUGGGAAGACCAGGUUUUUGAAACUCCUAGAGGCAGUGGUUUGGGAGUUUAAGGAUUUUGCUAACCAACUCCAGCAUCUUCUGCAGCUGCAACUGAAACAAUCACCUUUUGAACAACCGGAGCACUUACUAUUUUGAACAACCUCCAGCAGUAACUUUUGCUAGAUUAACUUGUAACCUUUUUGUUGAGCUAGCAUUUUUGCACCAGCUCCAGUUGAAUGGAUUUCAACUAAAAGGUAAAAUAUGUAAAAACUCUUCACUAUUUCAAUAAUAUGUAAUAAUUUCCCUUUUGUAUUUCAUUGUUAUAAUUCAUUGAUAAAAACAUAUUCCGCAGCAAAGCGCGGGUAAGUUUUCUAGUUUAGUAUAUACUAAACGGCCUGCCGGCCUGCACUAUUCAUUUUACUGUUCAUCUUGGGGGUGAGAAAUGACGGUUUUGCCCUCUGUUUUCCUUCAACUUACUGCGCUGCCAUCCUUGUACGAACUUCUAUGGCAUCGAGUCCCAGGAGCUGUUUGCUUCUCCUGCCACCGAGUAGUGCUGACGUGGCCGCGCGUCCUUUCCCUGCAGAAAUAUAGAGACAGAGGAAGACAGCGAUGAUGGUGAGAUCGAGGGUUUGCUCCUUUCCUCCGCACAAAGAGGGAACGAAGGAAAUAAGAGGAAGAAGAAGAGAUUCAGCAGUAAGCAAGUAAACUAUGGAAAGAGGGAAAAACUUCCUGCAUUUUGUUCCUAUGCAGAAUCAAAUCCAAUUGAAGCAAGGUUCGAUUUCGACUUGGAGAAUAAGACGAUUGCUCAUAUUCUUGCUGGGUUUUCUUAUUUGUUCCUAUAAAUAGAAGCAAUUGUUGGAGCAAAAUCGAUUCUGGGGAUGUCAUUAUUUUCUUAGAGAUUCAAGCUAUUAAAGCUCCUGAAUUUUCAAGGAGGACUUUUGAUGGGUAUUGAUGAAUUUCAGAUUGUUCUCGGGUAUUAUUUGCUUCAUGGUGUUUGUUUUCAGAUGCUCUGUUAGUUUGACAAAGCAACUUUGUCUUCAAUUGGAUCAAUUUACGAGUAGAGUGCCUUCAUUGUGGUGUUCAGGUUCCUGGUCAAUAUAGCUGUGUUGAUAUCUGCCAUUGGGUUUUUGUGGUUUUAUUUAUAGAUACAGCACGUAUUCAAAAUAAAACUCACUGUUCUCUCUGUUUUGGCUCUUCAGUUUUCUUUUAUAUGUUUGAAGUUGGCUGCUUUGGGAUUGUUAAACUGAGGUUAAGUUUGAUUCGGUCUCAUUGCUAUGAAAAGUAUGGAUUUCUAAAGAAGGAGGUCACUGCUGUGAUAUGUAUAGUCCAAAUGAUUGAAUUAUCUUAAUGAAUCUGGUAUCAUUAUUUGGUCAUCGAUAUUGGAAUUUGUGCUUCUUUGGUAAUGCUUGAGGAUUGGAGAUCAGGGCUCAUAGAAUCUGUAAUUGUUCAGGAUGAAUGUUGUAUUGAGAAUUCAUUCUAAACAUUUGGAUUUUUAGUGGGUGGGAAUUCAAUGCAGGAAUUGACUUCUUGGAAUUUAAACCCUCAGAGGUUGCAGCAGCAGUGGCCAUUUCUGUGGUGGGAGGAAUCAAAGCAUUAGAUCACACUGAGAAUGCAGUCUCUAUGCUUAGCCAACAUGUAGACUUGAAAAAGAAGAAGAAGAUGAAAUUGAAAUCGAUGGCUUUUGCUUUUGCAUUUGCUCUUAUCAUUUUGGUGUUGAUUACAAAUUUACACAAUCAAAUACAAACAUCAAACAUGAUUACUGCAGACGUUGAUUUUGUUUUGGUUUUUACUUUUGUGAGCCAA